GCCGUAGUAGAUGUUGUAGGUUUGUGCCGAAUCUGCCAGGGAAGGAGUAGUGGUGGUUAAUAUAGCGGUGGCAGCAAUAGUAGCCGUUAGUGUAGUUAGGAGGGGUUUGUGGGAUGGGAUAGGGAGGUGGGUUUUGGAUGGUGGCGGUAUCAGAGGCGGCUUUUGGGUGGUGGCGGAGGAGGAAAGCCUGGCUGAUGGUGAGAGAAUGGCGGCCAUGAGAUCGGAUUGGCUAAUAGUGGAUAUUGUAUUUUAUUUUC
rnacentral:misc_RNA from 1 species